UGGCCAGUAUAAUCAAUUUCCUGAAGAAACUGAAUUUUUCCAAAGAGAUGGAACAUGGAACACUGAAUACGGACGGUUUUUCUUAGAAUGGUAUUCAGGCAAGCUACUUGAUCAUGGUGACAGAAUCCUAGCAACUGCAAAAGGAAUAUUUCAAGGAUCUGGAGCAAAGCUAUCUGGAAAAGUAGCUGGAAUUCAUUGGCUUUAUAGAACAAGAUCCCAUGCAGCUGAACUCACAGCAGGUUACUAUAACACAAGACACCACGAUGGCUACCUACCAAUAGCACGAAUGUUUAGCAAACAUGGAGUUGUAUUAAAUUUCACCUGCAUGGAAAUGCGAGAUCGAGAACAACCUGAAAGUGCAAAUUGCUCACCAGAAGGAUUAGUGCAGCAAGUGAAGAUGGUAACAAGGACUGCUGGAAUUGAACUGGCUGGAGAGAAUGCAUUGGAGAGGUAUGAUGCAGGUGCAUAUGCUCAAGUUUUGGCAACAAGUAGAUCAAAAUCAGGCAAUGGAUUGGCAGCAUUUACAUAUCUAAGAAUGAAUAAGAAGUUGUUUGAAGGGGAUAAUUGGCGACACCUUGUGGAGUUCGUAAAAAGCAUGUCAGAACAUGGCCAAAACAAAACGCUAGCAGAGCGUGACUCUAGAGGAACAAACCUUUACGUUGGUUUUAUCAAAGACAAGAAUGUCAAAAAGACCAAGGAAGCUGCUCUUGUGUAAACACUUGCACACAUUAAUGUACAAUGGAUUAGAGAUCAGUAUAUCAUCGGCUAAGGAGGGAACAACUA
rnacentral:misc_RNA from 1 species